GUAAAAGUAAUGGGGAUUUACGUACAGUAUUUCAUUAUCAGCAGAGUAUCUCAGGAAAAUCCCAACAAGUUGGAUCUCAUUUUGAUAGUGCUGUUUAUGGGCAGCCAUCACAAGGAAUAGCUCUGCUAUCACUUCGUUCUUCAUUGGUGACUACAAUUUUGCAGUUUCCUGUCUUCUUUACAAGUUCUGUUUCAGGGUUAUUUACUGAAG